ACAGCAGUAGCCACGGUAAUACAGAGGGUGCGAGCGUUAAUCGGAUUUACUGGGCGUAAAGCGUGCGUAGGCGGCUUUUUAAGUCGGAUGUGAAAUCCCUGAGCUUAACUUAGGAAUUGCAUUCGAUACUGGGAAGCUAGAGUAUGGGAGAGGAUGGUAGAAUUCCAGGUGUAGCGGUGAAAUGCGUAGAGAUCUGGAGGAAUACCGAUGGCGAAGGCAGCCAUCUGGCCUAAUACUGACGCUGAGGUACGAAAGCAUGGGGAGCAAACAGGAUUAGAUACCCCUGUAGUCCCUGUCUCUUAUAA
rnacentral:rRNA from 1 species